rnacentral:rRNA from 1 species
CGGAGUGUAGCUUGUGCGUGAGUCACUGAGUGUUAAAACUCAACGGCGUAAUGAAAGUAAAGGCUGAUUAAUCAGCUGACAUAGGAUCCGUCCCUCGUGGGCGGCGCACUAUGGCCCUGUCUCGGUUGCUUGCAAUUGGGCAGAGGAAGAACGUACAGGCUGCGACCCGAAAGAUGGUGAACUAUGCCUGAGCAGGACGAAGCCAGAGGAAACUCUGGUGGAAGUCCGUAUCGGUUCUGACGUGCAAAUCGAUCGAUAGACUUGGGUAUAGGGGCGAAAAUCGAACC